AUUGAACGCUGGCGGCAGGCCUAACACAUGCAAGUCGAACGGUAACAGGAAGAAGCUUGCUUCUUUGCUGACGAGUGGCGGACGGGUGAGUAAUGUCUGGGAAACUGCCUGAUGGAGGGGGAUAACUACUGGAAACGGUAGCUAAUACCGCAUAAUGUCGCAAGACCAAAGAGGGGGACCUUCGGGCCUCUUGCCAUCGGAUGUGCCCAGAUGGGAUUAGCUAGUAGGUGGGGUAACGGCUCACCUAGGCGACGAUCCCUAGCUGGUCUGAGAGGAUGACCAGCCACACUGGAACUGAGACACGGUCCAGACUCCUACGGGAGGCAGCAGUGGGGAAUAUUGCACAAAGGGCGCAAGCCUGAUGCAGCUAUGCCGCGUGUAUGAAGAAGGCCUUCGGGUUGUAAAGUACUUUCAGCGGGGAGGAAGGGAGUAAAGUUAAUACCUUUGCUCAUCGACGUUACCCGCAGAAGAAGCACCGGCUAACUCCGUG
rnacentral:rRNA from 1 species